AUUAGAGUUUGAUCCUGGCUCAGAUUGAACGCUAGCGGGAUGCUUUACACAUGCAAGUCGAACGGCAGCACGAGGAGCUUGCUCCUUGGUGGCGAGUGGCGAACGGGUGAGUAAUAUAUCGGAACAUGCCCAGUAGCGGGGGAUAACUACUCGAAAGAGUGGCUAAUACCGCAUACGUCCUACGGGAGAAAGCAGGGGACCUUCGGGCCUUGCACUAUUGGAGUGGCCGAUAUCGGAUUAGCUAGUUGGUGGGGUAAAGGCCUACCAAGCCGACGAUCAGUAGCCGGCCUGAGAGGGUGACCGGCCACAUUGGGACUGAGACACGGCCCAAACUCCUACGGGAGGCAGCAGUGGGGAAUAUUGCACAAUGGGGGAAACCCUGAUGCAGCAACGCCGCGUGAAGGAAGAAGGUUUUCGGAUCGUAAACUUCUAUCGAUGGGGAAGAAAAAAAUGACGGUACCCAAGUAAGAAGCCCCGGCUAACUACGUGCCAGCAGCCGCGGUAAUACGUAGGGGGCAAGCGUUAUCCGGAAUUACUGGGUGUAAAGGGUGAGUAGGCGGAUUAGUAAGCCAUAUGUGAAAACUCAGGGCUUAACUUUGAGAUUGCAUAAGGAACUGUUAAUCUAGAGUACAGGAGAGGUAAGUGGAAUUCCUAGUGUAGCGGUGAAAUGCGUAGAUAUUAGGAGGAACACCAGUGGCGAAGGCGACUUACUGGACUGAAACUGACGCUGAGGCACGAAAGCGUGGGUAGCGAACAGGAUUAGAUACCCUGGUAGUCCACGCUGUAAACGAUGAGUGCUAGGUGUGGGGGAGAGAUCCUCGGUGCCGCAGCAAACGCAAUAAGCACUCCACCUGGGGAGUACGGCCGCAAGGUUGAAACUCAAAGGAAUUGACGGGGGCCCGCACAAGCGGUGGAGCAUGUGGUUUAAUUCGAAGCAACGCGAAGAACCUUACCAAGGCUUGACAUACCAUUGAUGGGUGCAGAGAUGCACCGUUCUACGGACAAUGGAUACAGGUGGUGCAUGGUUGUCGUCAGCUCGUGUCGUGAGAUGUUGGGUUAAGUCCCGCAACGAGCGCAACCCUUAUUUUUAGUAGCCAGCGGGUAGUGCCGGGCACACUAGAAAGACUGCCGUGGAUAACACGGAGGAAGGUGGGGAUGACGUCAAAUCAUCAUGCCCCUUAUGUCUUGGGCUACACACGUGCUACAAUGGCAGGUACAGAGAGAAGCGAAGGGGUGACCUGGAGCAAAGCUCAAAAAAGCUGCCACAGUUCGGAUUGUAGUCUGCAACUCGACUACAUGAAGCUGGAAUCGCUAGUAAUCGCAAAUCAGCAUGUUGCGGUGAAUACGUUCCCGGGCCUUGUACACACCGCCCGUCACACCAUGGGAGUUGGUAGCGCCCAACGUCUGUGACCUAACCGAAAGGAAGGAGUAGCCUAAGGCGAGACCAGUGACUGGGGUGAAGUCGUAACAAGGUAACCAAU
rnacentral:rRNA from 1 species